CCGAACAGCGCAUGAGGGUACCCAAGCUCAGUGAUGCCUGAGUGUGUGUGAAGAGGACUUUCCGGGUGGGCAGCAUGACAGUUAUUAGUCGGCACAGAAUGGCUGACAUUAGCUGCCCGGGGAACCGAAAAGGGACCAGUGAUGUAAUCUGUUAUAUAACCGUUCCUGCAGGAAUGCCGCUUCUGUGUGGACAGUACAGAACUAUGGCCUUGCGAGCAAAAGCCUUCACCUUCACUUUGUUCUUGCCAGACUGCCUGUGUGUGUCUGUUGCUGGCCUGUGAGCUGCCCACCUGUGCCUUAUGUGCCAGUCUAUGUUCGUGUAGUCUGCAAAUGUUCUCAACGUGUCAACAUCUGUAGUCAUUCAAGUGAUUGGCAGAACUGUUGACCGGGUCAGGAUUGGAAACCAGAAGAUUAGUCAGUGAUUGCUGUUUCUGCACAAAAGCAGGCCAAUCUUAUGGAAGCAUUCUCGCAGUUGAUGUUCCCGCCUCUCAGAGGACUUGAGCUUGUGUCGACUUUGACAUGAAACUACUCAGCACGGGACGUAAACGUAGAAAAAGACAUGGGCUUCUGUUUGCAGGACGCCGAGACUGGAGAGGAAGAAAGUAUAUCCACAAAUACGAAACCCCAGGGAGAGGAUCAUUCCGUUGGAAUUUCUUCCGGGUGUUUAGAGAGAAGGGAGCAGCAGUGGAGAGAAGGAACAGGCUGCUUCUAUUCCAAGAGAAUAAUGAACACAGCCGCCCUCUGGGCCUGAUUCUCUCUGCGGCAAAUGGCUCAUCCUGGCUUUCUGAAGCGCGUACCUCCCAAGAGCCGUUCAAGGUCACCACGACUGGCCUUCUCUGAAGCGUCUCCCCACUCUUCGAGGUGUGAAGAUCCCAAACACAUUCUUCUGUAAUGAAGAAACGAAGAUACCAUCCAUUAUUCUUACAGCAUUCAUGAUGUCUGAGUGUUGUAGGAGGAUGGGCUGAAGCCAAUUACCAUUCCCGUCACUCCAUGCUCAGAGAGGAGAAAGGAGCAGCCACUGCCCUAACUUCCCGAGAGCUGGCCUGUGUCCCCAGCCUCACAGCUCUUGGCAAUGACAGGCAUUUGUCCCCCUGACCCCUUCCAUCUGCAGCCAGGUCCCUGGCUUCCUUCUCGGGAAAACUCAUAACUUCAAUCAUGGAUCCUCUUUGGACAUCUUGGAACACUGACAUAUGUUGAAAUGUCACAUCUUUCUCAGAAGCAUCUAAAUAUUACCAAACGUAAUGAUCUUGAUCUCUGGUCACCUUCUACGAUCCACCUUCAAAGACUACUCCUGAUUGACAGGGGUGCAUAUUUAUGGAUUAAGAUGUAGCAUUUCAAUAUAUGUAUGUGAUGAGUAUUGAUCGGACUGGGGUAAGUGACACACGUCACCUGAGAUAGUUAUCGUUUCUUCAGGUUGGGAGCAUUCACAAUCUCUACUAUCUGUGUUGAAAUGUGCGACUGUUUUCAAACAUACUUACCCUGCUGCACUUUAGAAAGUUUGAUGUUCUCCCCUAUCCAACUGCUCCUCUGUGCCUGUUAAUUAUCCUCUCUCCACUGCCUCCCCAAGCCCUCCUGGUCACCACCAGUCAGGUCUCUGCUCCAAAGUCCACUAUGUGGUCUCCUCAUGAGAGUGAUAACAUGUGUGUGUGUCUUUCCAUGUCUGGCUUAUUUCAUUUAGUAAAAUGUCCUCUGUUCUACCCAUCUUGGUGCAAAUGACAGAAUUUUAAUAUCAUUCUCUUAAUGGCUGAAUAGUAUUCAAUUAAUAUACCUAUCA